GACAGAGGGUGCAAGCGUUACUCGGAAUUACUGGGCGUAAAGCGUGCGUAGGUGGUUCGUUAAGUCUGUCGUGAAAGCCCCGGGCUCAACCUGGGAAUGGCGAUGGAUACUGGCGGGCUAGAGUGCGGUAGAGGGUGGUGGAAUUCCCGGUGUAGCAGUGAAAUGCGUAGAGAUCGGGAGGAACAUCAGUGGCGAAGGCGGCCACCUGGACCAGCACUGACACUGAGGCACGAAAGCGUGGGGAGCAAACAGG
rnacentral:rRNA from 1 species